GCAGCUAUGGCCGAGUGGUUAAGGCGUCUGACUAGAAAUCAGCACGCGAAGGUUUGAAUCCUGCUGGCUGCG